rnacentral:rRNA from 1 species
GACGAACGCUGGCGGCGUGCUUAACACAUGCAAGUCGAGCGGUAAGGCCCUUUCGGGGGUACACGAGCGGCGAACGGGUGAGUAACACGUGGGUGACCUGCCCUCAGCUCUGGGAUAAGCCUGGGAAACCGGGUCUAAUACUGGAUAUGACUCCAUGACGCAUGUUGGUGGGGUGGAAAGCCUUGUGCGGCUGAGGAGUGGGCCCGCGGCCUAUCAGCUUGUUGGGUGGGGGAUGGCCUACCAAGGCGACGACGGGUAGCCGGCCUGAGAGGGCGACCGGCCACACUGGGACUGAGACACGGCCCAGACUCCUACGGGAGGCAGCA